UUAUCGUGUUUUUGUAAGUCGCUCUGGAUAAGAGCGUCUGCUUAAUGACGUAAA
rfam:Salmo salar isolate Sally breed double haploid chromosome ssa12, whole genome shotgun sequence.